rnacentral:tRNA from 2 species
GGGCCCGUAGCUCAGUUGGUAGAGCAGCGGACUUUUAAUCCGUCGGUCGGAGGUUCGAAUCCUCCCGGGCUCACCA